rnacentral:rRNA from 1 species
AUUGAACGCUGGCGGCAGGCCUAACACAUGCAAGUCGAACGAGUGGCGGACGGGUGAGUAAUGUCUGGGAAACUGCCUGAUGGAGGGGGAUAACUACUGGAAACGGUAGCUAAUACCGCAUACCAUCGGAUGUGCCCAGAUGGGAUUAGCUAGUAGGUGGGGUAAAGGCUCCCCUAGGCGACGAUCCCUAGCUGGUCUGAUAGGAUGAACAGGCACACUGGAAAUGAGACACGGUCCAGACUCAUACGGGAGGCAGCAGUGGGGAAUAGUGCAAAAGGGGCGCAAGCCUGAUGCAGCCAUGCCGCGUGUAUGAAGAAGGCCUUCGGGGUGUAAAGUACUGUCAUCGGGGAGGCGUUACCCGCAGAAGAAGCACCGGCUAACUCCGUGCCAGCCGCCGCGGUAAUUC